rnacentral:tRNA from 1 species
AAGGGAGACCUAAUUCAGGUAUGGGACGAAAAAAAAGUAGUCGCUACCAAGAAUCAAUCCCAAAAGGUCGGAGCGAGGUAUGAGGCUUUCAAACUAGGUUCUGGGUUCAAACAAGACCUGAAUCAGGAACAAGGGCUAUUAGCUCAGGUGGUUAGAGCGCACCCCUGAUAAGGGUGAGGUCCCUGGUUCGAGUCCAGGAUGGCCCACCUGCACAGGUGGCAAAAACAAGAGAAGCGAGGAAUCAGCACCUUAUCUUAUCUAUAUAUAAGAGAGAAUGCUGGCUCUGAGUAAAGAGUCCAGAGGAACCUUGAAAACUGCAUAGAGCUAGGUGAAAAAGCCAAAAAGAAGACCGCAA